rnacentral:rRNA from 1 species
GACGAACGCUGGCGGCGUGCUUAACACAUGCAAGUCGAACGGAAAGGCCCUGCUUUUGUGGGGUGCUCGAGUGGCGAACGGGUGAGUAACACGUGAGUAACCUGCCCUUGACUUUGGGAUAACUUCAGGAAACUGGGCUAAUACCGGAUAGGAGCUCCUGCUGCAUGGUGGGGGUUGGAAAGUUUCGGCGGUUGGGGAUGGACUCGCGGCUUAUCAGCUUGUUGGUGGGGUAGUGGCUUACCAAGGCUUUGACGGGUAGCCGGCCUGAGAGGGUGACCGGCCACAUUGGGACUGAGAUACGGCCCAGACUCCUACGGGAGGCAGCAGUGGGGAAUAUUGCACAAUGGGCGGAAGCCUGAUGCAGCAACGCCGCGUGCGGGAUGACGGCCUUCGGGUUGUAAACCGCUUUCGCCUGUGACGAAGCGUGAGUGACGGUAAUGGGGAAAGAAGCACCGGCUAACUACGU